AGCAGCCGCGGUAAUUCCAGCUCCAAUAGCGUAUAUUAAAGUUGUUGCAGUUAAAAGCUCGUAGUUGAAUUUCGGGGUCAGUAGGUCGGUCGUGCCACUGGUAUGAACUGGUUUUACUGAUUCCUCCCUCCUGAAGAACUGUAAUGCCAUUAAUUUGGUGUUGCAGGGAAUCAGGACUGUUACUUUGAAAAAAUUAGAGUGUUUAAAGCAGGCUUUAGCUUGAAUACAUUAGCAUGGAAUAAUGAAAUAGGACGUUUGAUCCUAUUUUGUUGGUUUCUAGGAUUGACGUAAUGAUUAAUAGGGAUAGUUGGGGGCAUUAGUAUUCAAUUGUCAGAGGUGAAAUUCUUGGAUUUAUUGAAGACUAACUACUGCGAAAGCAUUUGCCAAGGAUGUUUUCAUUAAUCAAGAACGAAAGUUAGGGGAUCGAAGACGAUCAGAUACCGUCGUAGUCUUAACCAUAAACUAUGCCGACUAGGGAUCGGAUGAUGUUAAUUUUUUAAUGACUCAUUCGGCGCCUUAC
rnacentral:rRNA from 1 species